UUCACAUUGGUGCCCAACCCAAAAGCCCAAGCCCUCCUUCUCACAAAAUCUACAAUCUCGCUCUUCGACCGCCUCAAUUCCUUUCUACAAUCUGCCUUUCUCUCUCUCUAACACACACACUCUCUCUCUCGUUGGCUCUCUGUAAUUGCGAAUGCACAACCCUGUUGCUCUAUCUCAUUUUGUCCGAUGACCUAGUGCCUCCGGCGCCGGAGCAUCCACCGGCCGUCAACCACACGCUACGAUUCCAAUUCCGAGUCUCUGGGGACUUGUAUAGGGUUUUCUUAAGUGCUUCUGCGAUUUGAUUGCGACGAUUCAAUUAGGGUUUUUCCUUUUGCUUUCUAAGAUUGCGGCGUCCACGCCAUGGCUCCGGGGCGUAGACGCGGAGCGAACAAGGCCAAGGCCAAGAGCCAGUUGAGUCUCGGCGAUCUUGUCCUUGCCAAGGUCAAGGGCUUCCCCUAUUGGCCUGCCAAGAUUAGCAGGCCUGAAGAUUGGAAGAAGGUCCCUGAUCCUAAGAAGUAUUUUGUCCAAUUUUUUGGAACAGAAGAGAUAUCACAGAAAGGUGAAAUUGACAAAUUUUUUGGAACGAAAGAGAUAGCUUUUGUUGCCCCUGCAGAUAUUCAGGCAUUCACUAGUGAGUUAAAAGUUAAAUUAACAGGUCGGCUGCCAGGUAAAACAAAGAACUUUUCCCAAGCUGUGAAGGAUAUAUGUGAGGAAUUUGAUGAAUUACAAAAAAAGAAAUCAAAUGAUUUGAGGGAUGAUACUGACCCUGGAUGUGAGGUUCCGUCUGUUAAUGGUGUAGAAAAUAAUGGGGUUGAAGUCGAAUUAAAGGAUGGGGGUGAGGGUACGCAGGACUCCAAUGGAGAAACACUGAAGGAAGAAGAAGGCAUAGGUGAUUUUGGCUCUAAGUUGGAACGCUGUUCACAGAUCCGAGGUGAAAAUGGCAUUGAAGAUGUAAAUCCAUCUACCUCAUGUGGAGCAAAUGAGAGUUCAUCUCCAAUAAUUUCUUCUGAGACAAAAAAUAAAAUGUCUGCAGUUUCACAGCCCAAAAAGGAGGUAUUAAAGAAAUCCAACCCAGAUAAUUCUUGUAAUAUGAAGGAAGAUGUUUCCGGUAGUAAGCAUGAAGAAGAUGGUGUUCGCACUAAGAAACACUCUGAAAGACAGAGGUCCUUAGCAAAUGGUCACAAGUCUACGAAGAUUACUGGAUCAAAGAGAAAACAUGAUGGCACAGUUGAAGGACACAAAAAUAGCUCUUCUGUGACAUCAUUGAAGGAGGAUGGCUCUGUCUUUCUUGAUCGCCCAAAAUCUGGUGAGCGACUGAGAGAUGGAACAAAAGGCAAACUCGGCUCUGGUGGCAGGAAAAGGGAAUUUUCACCAGAUGCUCGUAAAUCAGAUAGUGGUAUUAGGGGUGGGAAAAAGGCAAAAGAUCUGCUUAAAGCCAAAAAUCAAAUCGAGGUGGUAGAUGAUGUGAAGGACUCUGUGGAUGAUCCUGUGGAUCAGGCCAAAGAAAAACUUUCUGGAAGGACAAAGAAGGUUCAACUUGGGCUUGGAAAGCUUAAUUUGGGAUCAAAUGAUAUUUCACAUCCUGCCAAAAAGUCAAAGCAUGUAGACUCAGGGGACAAUGCUCCACGGGGUUCAUUCUCUAAAACUGUAAAGAGUCUAUCUCCAAGUUCUGAUGUUGUUGAUGACAAGACAGUUAAAAAAUGGGAUUUGAAAAAGUCAAAUUCACGUGUGAAAGGAGAGAACCAUUCCAGAUCCCAAAAUAUUAUUGUUGGACCAAACGCUCCUGGUGAUGAAGCUGCGCUACCCCUAACAAAGCGGCGUCUUCGAGCACUGGAGGCUAUGUCUGAUUCAGAUACUUUGGUUUCUGAUGAUAAACUGGAAAAGGAUUGCAUUCUGAAGAAUGAUACUUUGAUUUCUACUGAUGUCAGAGUUUCAGCAGUUCAUACACAGAGAAAGCGGAGAGCUGUGUGCCUCUAUGAGGAGGAUGAGGAGGAGGAAAAACCCAAAACACCGGUUCAUGGAGGGUCUUCCCGAAAUAUUAAAGGGCCUUCAUAUUCUUCAGAUGCUAUGAAGAGCACUGAUGAAAAUCAUGAGCGUUUGGAUACUGCUCAACAGAGUACCAAAUGUCCUGCUGAGUUUCAGGAGAGCCACAUGAAGGAAUCAGGUUCCCAGUCAAACAGUAGUUCUCUGUCACCUAGCAAACCUCAAGCAGAUGAAGAUAGAUCGGAAAGGAAACCUCAAAUUGAUGAAAUGAGGCUUGAAAAGGCAGUGCAUGUCUACCACAGUCCAGCAAAAUCAGAACCCGAGCAGUUGUGCAAGGAGGAAAAACCGACUUUGACUUCUCCAAAAAAGUCUCCUCAGUUGGUUUCUACCACUAAACCAGUAGUAGAACAGCAGAAAUCCACAAAACCUCUUGUUAAAGUCUCUAGUACUGGUAUUCAAAAGAAGGCUCAGGCUGUGUCUGGCAAGAGUUCAGGUUUAGUUUCUUCUCAAAAUCAUGCAACAACUCAAAGAAAUAGGCCUGCCUCAUCUGGAGAAAAAUCUAAACCUACUCUACGAUCAAUCCCUCAUAUCAAUGACGCUGCUCUUUUAACAGAAAAUUCAACAGAGUACAUUUCAUUACCUGGUGAAAGAAUGGACGUUGGCAGAGAAGAUAAAAGUGGCUUGAUGGAUUCUAGGACCCCGGAAUCUUCUAUAUCUAUGAGGCAUCUUAUUGCAGUUGCACAAGCAAAGAGGAAACAGGCUCAGUCACAAAGUUUCUUUCUUGGAAUUUCCAAUUCUACUCUUGUGUCUAACAAAGAUUUGCAAGGGAGGAGCCCCAGCCCUUCUGAAGUUCAGGGGUUUUUGUCCACUAGCAGCAGUGCAUUGCAGGCGGAUCUCCCGGGAUCUAAUCAACUCACAAAUUUAGCUUCACCGUCUACUCAUGGUCGUCAAUCUGCAUCACAAAUUCAACUUGAUAUUGAGGAAAUCUCUGAAAGAAGAGUUAGUUCUGGGCAUCAAACUGCUGGAGGAUCACUUAGUGGUGGCACUGAGGCAGCUGUUGCUCGUGAUGCUUUUGAAGGAAUGAUAGAGACUUUGUCAAGGACUAAAGAAAGUAUUGGUCGUGCAACUCGUCUUGCCAUUGAUUGUGCCAAGUAUGGUAUUGCCAAUGAGGUUGUGGAACUACUAAUCCGAAAGUUGGAGGGUGAGCCUAGUUUUCAUCGUAAGGUUGAUCUUUUCUUUCUUGUGGAUUCCAUCACACAAUGCUCGCAUAAUCAAAAAGGCAUUGCGGGAGCUUCAUAUGUUCCGACAGUUCAAGCAGCAUUGCCACGUCUUCUAGGUGCUGCUGCCCCACCUGGUUCUGGUGCUCGUGACAAUCGUCGUCAGUGUCUUAAGGUUUUACGGCUGUGGAUUGAGAGAAAAAUCUUUCCCGAAUCUGUCCUUCGUCGCUACAUGGAUGACAUUGGGGUUUCAAAUGAUGAUGCAACUGCUGGUUUCGCCCUUAGACGUCCAUCUCGAGCCGAGCGUGCUAUAGAUGAUCCAAUCAGAGAAAUGGAAGGAAUGUUUGUGGAUGAGUACGGCAGUAAUGCUACAUUUCAGCUGCCUGGCUUUUUAUCUUCUCAUGCAUUUGAAGAUGAUGAAGAAGAAGACGAAGAACUUCCUAGCUGUUCAUAUAAGGAGACUAGCCAUUCCUCACCGGUGGAAACCACUCAUGCUUCUGGGGAAUCAGAAACGUGUGCUGUGACUCCAAAUGAUAGGCGACAUUGCAUCUUGGAGGAUGUGGACGGUGAACUUGAAAUGGAAGAUGUUUCUGGACAUCCAAAGGAUGAAAGACCCGUGUUUGUUAAUGGUUCUUUUGAAAGGGAUCCACAACAGCAGGGAUCAGAUACGGUCACAGAGCCAGCUUCAAAUGUUUGCAGUGAGUUGCCCCCUCUUCCAGAGGGUUCUCCACCAUUGCCUCUUGAUUCUCCUCCUCCUCCCCCACCUCUGCCUCCAUCACCCCCACCACCGCCACCCCCACCCCCGUUAUCCCCAUCACCACCGCCACCGCCACCCCCACCUCUACCAUCACAGCUACCUCCUCCUCUACCACCAUCAGGUCAUCCGCCAUUAUUUCCUCAGUCAUCUAUACCAACUCAGGCAUCAUUACUAUCCCAACAGAUGCUGCCUCCUCAGUCAACAAUGCAUUCUUCCCCACAGGUGGCAUAUCAACUUCCUGUACCUCACGAAUACUGUAGCACUAGUGGUAACCAACUUGUCCAAAUUGCUGGAAAUGCUCCUCACGGGGGCCCUAUUGAUGCGGCUGCAAAAAGCGAGAUGUUUCCACAGCAGCAAGCUUGCUUUAUUCCUACAGGAGUAUGCGGUCCUCGAGAACCUUCUGGAUUUAACUCGACGAGGCAAUUAGAACACGGACAUAAUGACAUGUUUCUAAGUGCACAAGUCUCUCAACCAAGCCAACAAUUUCAACAAGGUAAUACCCCUUUUCCUCAAAGGCCUUUACCUCCUGCUCCACCACAAAAUCCAUCCAGUCAUUUCUCUUAUACAAAGCCCUCGAGUCAGCAACAUCCCCAGCAUCCAUACCAUGCUCCAUACUCUUUGACUCCCCUCCCUGAUAGUCAAAGACGAUUUGCCGAUGAACAACGUGGUGUUUGGAUGAAUGGAGGAAGACCCCCACAUUCGGGACCACCAUUUGGCCAUGAAGGUUAUUUUCGUCCACCGCUUGAUAGACCGCCAACUAAUAAUAUGGCUUUUCAGCGUUCUGCCCCUAAUAAUGUACCAUCUGGAGCUCCAAUAUCAGGUCAUAGUGCUUCCCAGAUCUUGCCAUGUAGACCAGACAUAUCUGCUGUUAAUUGUUGGAGACCAGCUUAAUAGUGAAACUUAGCCCUACUUUAAUAUUCUUCAUUGACGGUGGCGUAUCAAUUAGCAACGUCACAUGAUGCUGUGCUUCAAAGUUGGAUUCAUUUUGUAUACAAAACCCUAGUACCACUUGAAGUCAGUGUUGAGAACUUGUGGAGGCUCUUGGCAGGACUGUGUAUAUUGUAAUUUUUCCUGACAAAUGUAUCCCGAGAACAUUUGCUUCCAAGUGUAUGCCCAUGUUUCUUUCUUGGUUUUGGCAAAAGAUUAAAACAGAUACAUUUUUUGGGGUUUUGUCACUGACAAAGGAAAAGGAAUCCUACUUCCUGGCAGAUACACAUUGCUGUAAACCAUUCAGGCUGGAGAGCGAGAAAGGAUCCAUUUCACUAUUUGGAUUGGAGGAAGGUGUGUGAAACAUGUGUCUGAUUCUGAAGCCAAUAAUAACCAUAUGAUUAGGGCUUUUGGGGCUUAACAAUUCUCAAGUGUCGGUAUUGCUGUCAUCACCUCCGCCAAUGCCGAUGCCAAUGCCAUGUGGGCAAGACGUCUAUGCAUCCAAACUUUUUUUUUGCCGCUCAAAUUCGACUCUGGUGGUUGUGGUAAAUGAAUUAAUAACCAUCCCAUCCGCGCGAAAACACAUGAAUUUUGAUGGUUUUGUAGACUUCCUUAUCACCAAAUAUGGAACCGGGUAGGAUGGUGGAGGAUUUCAGCUGCGGACUGAAGAGAAACGAACGAGGAGUAGGCAAGUUCGGCACCAAUUUGUAAUUCAUUUCACUGCACGUGAUGUAUUUUCCUUUAGAAUUUCAGAUCGUCCAUGGACCAUGAGUCUUAUAUUUAUGACAACUCUUCCUUUAAACUA